GGAAGCUGGGGACAAACGGAGAAAGAAGAACCAGGGAGGCUUAGAAUCACUGGCCAGAGAGGGCAUUUGGUGACUCUGACAUGGGUCCAUCCUGUUUGGCCACUUUCUUGCCAAGUAUUGCCAUGUAGUAGGCCCUUGGUGACUUCUGUUUUCACCAGCAGCUACGUUCCCUCCUUUCUGUUCUAACCUAAAGACCACAGGCAGACAUCCUGGGCCACAAGAGGGUCCCAGACGGCCCUUCCCAUGGGCUCAAGCUUGAUGACUUGAGUGAAGUUCAGCACCCUUGUGACUACUGGGCACUGGUGACCAGGAGGAGCUGGAUUACUCAUCUGCGUGCCUGCUGGGCAGACACAGGAAGAAAAUACAUAGUCCCAGGGUCAUCCUGCAGAUGAAAACAGGUGAGGACACACCUUUUGUUCCCUCCAGAGGAUGCAGCAACAAGGAGAGACCAGGACCCUCAGCAGACACUGAGCUCGACAGGGCCUUGAUCUUGGACUUGAGAUGGAGUUUCACUCAUCGCCCAGACUGGAACGCAAUGGUGCCAUCUCAGCUCACUGCAACCUCUGCCUCGCGGUUCAAUCAAUUCUCCUGCCUCAGCCUCCUGAGUAGCUGGGAUUACAGGCACUCACCACCAUUCCUGGCUAAUUUUUGUAUUUUUAGUAGAUAUGGUGUUUCGCCAAGUUGGCCAGGCUGGUCUCAGGUGUUUUGCCGAGUUAGCCAGGCUGGUCUCAAACUUCUGACCUCAAGUGAUCUGCCCUCCUAG
rnacentral:lncRNA from 1 species